UUUUCCCGGUUGAUCCUGCCGGACCCCACUGCUAUCGGGAUAGGACUAAGACAUGCUAGUCGAGUGGCUCAACCAAUACGAGCCACGGCAUACAGCUCAGUAACACGUGGCUAAUCUGCCCUUAGGACGAGAACAACCCCGGGAAACUGGGGCUAACUCUCGAUAGGCGAAGAACUCUGGAAUGAGUCUUCACCUAAACGGUUCGGCGUUAUGCUCGUUGAACCGCCUAAGGAUGAGGCCGCGACCGAUCAGGUUGUUGGUGAGGUAAUGGCUCACCAAGCCUUUUACCGGUGCGGGCCGUGAGAGCGGGAGCCCGGAGAUGGGCACUGAGACAAGGGCCCAGGCCCUACGGGGCGCAGCAGUCGCGAAAACUUUGCAAUACACGAAAGUGUGACAGGGCUAUCCCGAGUGCCAUCCGCUGAGGAAGGCUUUUACCCGGUCUAGAAAGCUGGGGGAAUAAGGAGAGGGCAAGUCUGGUGUCAGCCGCCGCGGUAAUACCAGCUCUCCGAGUGGUGUGGAUGUUUAUUGGGCCUAAAGCAUCCGUAGCUGGCUAAGUUAGUCCCUUGUUAAAUCCACCGAAUUAAUCGUUGGAUCGCGGGGGAUACUGCUUGGCUAGGGGACGAGAGAGGCAGACGGUAUUUUCGGGGUAGGGGUGAAAUCCUAUAAUCCCGGGAAGACCACCAGUGGCGAAGGCUGUCUGCUAGAACGCGCCCGACGGUGAGGGAUGAAAGCUGGGGGAGCGAACCGGAUUAGAUACCCGGGUAGUCCCAGCUGUAAACGAUGCAGGCUAGGUGUUUGGACGGCCACGUGCCGUUCUAGUGCCGCAGGGAAGCUGUUAAGCCUGCCGCCUGGGGAGUACGAUCGCAAGAUUGAAACUUAAAGGAAUUGGCGGGGGAGCACCACAAGGGGUGAAGCUUGCGGUUUAAUUGGAUUCAACGCCGGA
rnacentral:rRNA from 1 species